rnacentral:lncRNA from 1 species
UGCAUAUUAUCACAGACUUCUGGCAAUGGGAAGAUUUGAAGUCUCAUGAGGAAAUUGGUAGAAUUACAUUCCUACACAGUCUCAAGCCACUCUUGGUUUUGUGACCCAGUCACCACCUGUGAAAAACCAGGUAUUUUCCAAAGCAACUGAGAGACACCUGCUCUGCACACAGUCCACUGCACACUGCUCUUCCAACUCAGCCCCUACACCGAGGAUCCUCCUUUCGCCACAACCUUCACAGGGUUUCGAGCAGAGCGCCAGAGAGUUUAGAAAGGUUCCAUCUGAGGCACCUUCAGCAGCUUCAUGGGUCACCUGCGGGAGCCAAGACAUUCAAAUUAACGUUGGUGGAAGACUUUGCAAGCUGUAACUCCGGAUGUUUCUGGACUCCUUCAGGGGUAAAUGCUGAGCAUGAUUCUUCCAGAGCCUUGAGACCGGAGCGCAGCUGUCAGUCGUCAUUCUGCAGUCUCACAGUGCCACCUUUUGGUUGUCAGUGCUGACAUUUUCUUUAAAAGGCAGCAAAAGUUCCUGAUUAUCAGUCAUUCACAUUCCAGGGAAAAGUUAUUUAAUCUGAGAUGCCUGUAU